UCUCUUGAGAGCGGCGGACGGGUGNNNNNNNCCUAGGAAUCUGCCUGGUAGUGGGGGAUAACGCUCGGAAACGGACGCUAAUACCGCAUACGUCCUACGGGAGAAAGCAGGGGACCUUCGGGCCUUGCGCUAUCAGAUGAGCCUAGGUCGGAUUAGCUAGUUGGUGAGGUAAUGGCUCACCAAGGCGACGAUCCGUAACUGGUCUGAGAGGAUGAUCAGUCACACUGGAACUGAGACACGGUCCAGACUCCUACGGGAGGCAGCAGUGGGGAAUAUUGGACAAUGGGCGAAAGCCUGAUCCAGCCAUGCCGCGUGUGUGAAGAAGGUCUUCGGAUUGUAAAGCACUUUAAGUUGGGAGGAAGGGCAUUAACCUAAUACGUUAGUGUUUUGACGUUACCGACAGAAUAAGCACCGGCUAACUCUGUGCCAGCAGCCGCGGUAAUACAGAGGGUGCAAGCGUUAAUCGGAAUUACUGGGCGUAAAGCGCGCGUAGGUGGUUCGUUAAGUUGGAUGUGAAAUCCCCGGGCUCAACCUGGGAACUGCAUUCAAAACUGUCNAGCUAGAGUAUGGUAGAGGGUGGUGGAAUUUCCUGUGUAGCGGUGAAAUGCGUAGAUAUAGGAAGGAACACCAGUGGCGAAGGCGACCACCUGGACUGAUACUGACACUGANGUGCGAAAAGCGUGGGGAGCAAACAGGAUUAGAUACCCUGGUAGUCCACGCCGUAAACGAUGUCAACUAGCCGUUGGGAGCCUUGAGCUCUUAGUGGCGCAGCUAACGCAUUANNUUGACCGCCUGGGGAGUACGGCCGCNAGGNUAAAACUCAAAUGAANUUGACGGGGGNCCGCAC
rnacentral:rRNA from 2 species